rnacentral:lncRNA from 1 species
GUCCUCAUUUCAUCUCCGACAUGACGACGAACUCAUUGAAGUCGUGGACUUCAAGCAUGGUGGCAUUAAAAUGCACCAUAUAGUACCUUAUCAACUCCCCUUCUCUCUACUCAAUAGAGAAGAGACUAUCAUUGUUCUUCGAUUGUAGUCUUUGGCUGUCAAAGUACAUCAUGCAUUAUAUUUCCAACUGUUCGAAUGAGUGGAUUGAUCCUGAU